AAAAGUUGUUAUUUAACCUCAUAUGUUAUCAAUGGGCAUUGGAUGUUGGUGGCGAUUUUUCCUCAAUUAUAUGAAAUCUAUUGGUUUGAUUCCAUUGGUCUCGAGCCAUGUGAGGACUUAAAGAGAUAAUGGAAACGUGUGUGAAGGCAACAAGCAUGCUGAGUGGAAAGAAACAAAGUUGUCCACCGAAAUGGAUUACAUGUUCGGUAAUUACUUCAUACACUUUGUAAAACUACAUAUAUCUUAUUGUUUUUAUUAAAAAAAUUUCUUAAUUGUAUUGUAAUUCAAAUGUAGUGUGUCAAACAAAGAGGAA